rnacentral:rRNA from 1 species
GAACUUUCCAGAGAUGGAUUGGUGCCUUCGGGAACUGUGAGACAGGUGCUGCAUGGCUGUCGUCAGCUCGUGUUGUGAAAUGUUGGGUUAAGUCCCGCAACGAGCGCAACCCUUAUCCUUUGUUGCCAGCGGUCCGGCCGGGAACUCAAAGGAGACUGCCAGUGAUAAACUGGAGGAAGGUGGGGAUGACGUCAAGUCAUCAUGGCCCUUACGACCAGGGCUACACACGUGCUACAAUGGCGCAUACAAAGAGAAGCGACCUCGCGAGAGCAAGCGGACCUCAUAAAGUGCGUCGUAGUCCGGAUUGGAGUCUGCAACUCGACUCCAUGAAGUCGGAAUCGCUAGUAAUCGUGGAUCAGAAUGCCACGGUGAAUACGUUCCCGGGCCUUGUACACACCGCCCGUCACACCAUGGGAGUGGGUUGCAAAAGAAGUAGGUAGCUUAACCUUCGGGAGGGCGCUUACCACUUUGUGAUUCAUGACUGGGGUGAAGUCGUAACAAGGUAACCGUAGGGGAACC